rfam:Gossypium raimondii Chr02_contig_1227, whole genome shotgun sequence.
UAUUAAAAUUUUAUCUCUUUAUAAUGUUAAAAAUUGGUAUGACUAAUAAAAUAAUUAGACAGUGACACUUAACGUACCACGUGUACCUAAUGUUGACGUAUAAGGAUAAAUUUUUAAAGAUAGAAAUAAAUAAAAUUUUUAACA